AGCGAACGCUGGCGGCAGGCCUAACACAUGCAAGUCGAACGGUCCUUCGGGACAGUGGCGGACGGGUGAGUAACGCGUGGGAACGUGCCCUUAGGUUCGGAACAACUCAGGGAAACUUGAGCUAAUACCGAAUGUGCCCUACGGGGGAAAGAUUUACCGCCUUUGGAGCGGCCCGCGUCUGAUUAGCUAGUUGGUGAGGUAAAGGCUCACCAAGGCUACGAUCAGUAGCUGGUCUGAGAGGAUGAUCAGCCACACUGGGACUGAGACACGGCCCAGACUCCUACGGGAGGCAGCAGUGGGGAAUCUUGCGCAAUGGGCGAAAGCCUGACGCAGCCAUGCCGCGUGAAUGAUGAAGGUCUUAGGAUUGUAAAAUUCUUUCACCGGGGACGAUAAUGACGGUACCCGGAGAAGAAGCCCCGGCUAACUUCGUGCCAGCAGCCGCGGUAAUACGAAGGGGGCUAGCGUUGCUCGGAAUUACUGGGCGUAAAGGGCGCGUAGGCGGACAGUUCU
rnacentral:rRNA from 1 species